rnacentral:lncRNA from 1 species
GUUUUUGUAGGUAAAAAUCACUCAAAGGAAAGAGAACAAGGCAAAAGGAGGAAAAAUGACUAAAAUUGUGAAGUUGGAGGCCAAGGCAAAAAAGUCAAAAAGUGGAGGAUUUGGGAUGCAAUUUAUGGAGGGUAAAAUCGAAAUGGAAGUCAAAAUUCGAGAACCAAAUUGUACAAAAUCAAAGUUGAGGGACUAGCAUGCAUUAUUUGAAACUUGACUUCAAAAAGAAAAUAAUUUUCUGGUUUUGGGCAGAGAACCAGGCGCCACUGUUCCGGUGCCGCGGCGCCCAUUUUAAAAGAAAAAAACGAGUUGGGGACCUUUUUGUUAACUUUUGAAACUUUAGGGACCAAGUUCGCAAUUUUCCUUAGGUUUUAAUUUAAAAACCAACAGCUUCUGCUGGGUUCCGUCUUCUGCUAGUUCUUUCUUUCAUUUUCUUUUCUUUUUAUUUUCAUUUUACUUGGCAUUUUGGCGAUUAAAUCAAGGAGCACAACAAAGGAGAAUACAUUGAGGUGGAGAAAUCUUAGGGAAAUCAAGUUCAAGCUACAAAAAUGGGGAAAUUUAUCUAUAAACUUGUAUUUUCUCCAUUAUUUUGCCAUAUUUGUAAUGCAUUGCUAUAAACAUUCUCUUUUCCAUCAUAUAUAUAAAAUGGGCUAGUUAAUUGGGUUGGGAUUUAUGGUGUUGGUUUAACCUAGUUUUAAUUGAUUUUCAAUAUUUGCUCUUUAAUGUUAUGUGUUUCUAUUAUUGUAUUUAUUUCAUUUUCAUUUAUGUGGCCAAUGAAUUAAUGUGUUUCGUGAUUUGUAUAUCAUUCGAGAGAUGAUUGUGCAUUUUAGAUCAAAUGGUAGAAACCCUAGGUUUUUGUAGAGGAUAGAUAUAUACCUUUAGCCCUAGGUGACCCAAUGAGCUAUUUUCAUAACAAUUUAAUGCGGUUGUUUGGUUGUAAUCGACAUAGAGAUAUAAUAGGUUAAACCAAUCAAUUAUGGUUAAUUUCACUCGAGAGAGGUAAUUAGCUAAAAUUGGAAAAUCGGGUCUAACAUUGUAAAUGAGUAAUUCGUUAAUUGGCAUGUGGAGAAAUUAAUUAAGUGACGGUUAAGCGAAACCAUGAAUUCCAACCACGUUUUCCUCCAAAAUUUUCAAGAUUUCCAUAUUUUCUUAGUUUGUAUGUUUUUUCUUAGUUUCUAAAAUCAACUCUUUAUUGUGUGUUUGUUUAUUUUCAUUGUUAGAAUUAAAUUGAUUAAAGUUGUGUAAUUUAAAGUAAACGUUUCUCGAGGGAUCGACAAUCCGGACUUAAAAGGUCCACUUUAUUACUUGAACGCGACCCGUGCACUUAUAGUAAUAUUUUAGCAAACAAGUUUUUGGCGCUGUUGCCGGGGAAUGUUUUAUUUCAAUUAUCAUCUUUUGUUGAUUCUAAUUUUUACAAGUUUCAUUCUUUUUUCUUUUGCAUAGCUUUUAUAUAUUUAUUGUGUAAUUAACUUUUAAUUUAGAUUUCCUUAAGUCUUUGGUGGUGCAUGCUUCGUUCGAGAAGUUUUGAUCUUUUUGAGCUUGAUCCGGAUAUUGAAAAAACUUUCCGAAGAAGGCGACGGGAACAAAGGAAAUUGAGAAGGCAACAAUUGAUUGAGAUGGCACACCAAGGGAGUAAUUUGGAACAUAAUGCUCAACCGGAAAAUGUUCCUCGAGGUGGCAUUCCACCGGGUUUUGGUAACCAAGUGGGUAGAGCUCAAGAGCCUAUUGUAAAUGAGGAAGAUAUGCUAUUUGGGGACUUUAUGAACCCACCCGUAGUAGAGAAUGAAUCAAGUAUUGUCUACCCUCCAUAUGGACAUCCAAACUUUCAAUUUCGUUUGGAUGUUAUUAGUUUGUUCUCCAAUACCAUUCCAUUCUAUGGAAGGAUUGAUGAGAAUCAUCACUCACAUGUUGCACGAUUCAUAGAGAAUGUUGGAAAUUUUAAAUAUGAAGGCGUAAAUGUGGAGACGAUCCGGAUGAGGUUAUUUGUUCACACAUUGAAGGAUAAGUCAAGGGAAUGGCUUGAGACUCUAUGCUCAGAAGUAUAAAUAGUUGGUUGGAAUUUAUUCAAAAAUUCACAACCAAAUUCUUUCCACCCACCUGAGUAGCCAAACUCAAGCAUGACAUAACCACUUUUCAACAAUUUGAAUUUGAGAGCUUUCACGAGGCUUGGGAGAGGUUCAAGGAUAUGUUUCGAAAAUGUCCAAAUCAUGGAAUCACAGUGGGGCAACAAGUGAAUUAUUUUUAUACCGGGUUGACUCCUUCUUGCCGUUCAAAUGUGGAUUCAUCAUCUAAUGGCUCAAUCAAGAAGAAAUGUAUUCGAGAAGCAUAUGAUCUAUUUGAGGCCAUGAGUGAACAAAGUGCUAUGUUUCCGGAUAGAGGUUCACAAAGAGGAGUUGGUGGAGAUCGAGAUGGUGAAGCUUUCUCAAUGGUUCUAGCAAAGAUCGACUCACUAGCAAAGAAGGUAGAAGGACUUUCUACAUCUACCUUGAGCUCUCAUUCUGCUCAUAUGGUAUAAUCUCCACAUAUUUGUGAUAUUUGUGGAGCAAAUCACCCAAGCUCGAGUUGUCCAUUGAUAGGUAGUGGUUCAGCAUCUACCGAGCAAGUGACAUAUACUCAAAACUUUCAACACCAAGGGUACAAUCUUUAUUCGCAAAGUUAUAACCCUGGUUUGCGGAAUCAUCCGAACUUUUCUUAUGGAAAUAAUCAAAAUGUGCUCAACCCGAAGCCACAAGAGAAAAAAGAAGGUUGGGAAGAGGCCAUUGCUAAGUUGGCAAACCAUCAAUUGCAAUAUCAAGAAUGCAAUGAUGCCUCUUUGAAAAACUUGGAAUGUUAAGUGGGUCAAAUUGUCAAGUUUAUCUCCGAAAGGCAACAUGGGGCAUUGCCUAGCAACACCAAAACAAAUCCAAAGGAGAAUGUACAAGCUAUUACCACUAGAAGUGGGGUGCAACUGCCCGAAAUCACAGUGACAUGCCUUAAGGGUCAAACCGACAAGGCACCCAUUGAAGAAGAAAGGAUUAUGCAAGAACUUAUCCAAAGGAUGAGACACUAAUUGAAGAAGAAUCGGAUCCAUCAAUAUCAAAGGCUCCAAUACCGGUCAAAGCCUAUGUGCCUCCUAUUCCCUUCCCACAAAGGCUUCACAAAUAGAAAUUGGAUGUUCAAUUUGGAAUUUUUUUUUGAGGUAUUCAAGAAGCUACACAUAAACAUUCCGUUUGCCGAUGCAUUAGUUGAAGUGUCGAGUUAUGCCAAAUUUAUGAAGGAAAUUCUUUCAAACAAAAGAAAACUCGAAGAACAUGAGACAGUAAUGCUAACGGAAGAGUGUAGUGCUAUCCUUCAAAAGAAGCUACCAUCGAAAAUCAAAGAUCCAGGGAGUUUUACUAUUUCAUGCACUAUUGGAGAUUUAAAUUUGGGUAAAGCUUUAUGUGAUCUUGGUGCCAGUAUUAAUUUGACGCCUUUGUCUAUUUUCAAGAAGCCGGGAUUGGGAUAAGCUAAUGCCACCACUGUAUCAUUACAAUUGGCUGAUCGAUCAAUUAAAUAUCCUCAGGGUGUCAUUGAGGAUGUAUUGGUCAAGGUGGACAAAUUCAUAUUUCCAGCCGAUUUCAUAAUUCUUGACAUGGAAGAGGAUCAUGACAUCCCUAUCAUGCCUUUGUCUAUUUUCAGGAAGCUGGGAUUGGGAUAAGCUAAUGCCACCACCGUAUCAUUACAAUUGGCUGAUCAAUCAAUUAAAUAUCCUCGGAGUGUCAUUGAGGAUGUAUUGGUUGAUGUGGACAAAUUCAUAUUUCCAGCCAAUUUCAUAAUUCUUGACAUGGAAGAGGAUCAUGACAUCCCUAUCAUUUUUGGACGACCAUUUCUUGCCACCGACCGAGCUUUGAUUGAUUUGUAAGAGGGGCAGCUCAAUCUAAGAGUCCAAGAUGAAAAAGUUACAUUCAAUAUCUUGAAGGCCAUCAAGUAUCCAUCGGAAUCUGAUUCAUGCCUUUGAGUAGAUGUUGUUGAUCAUGUAGUUGCCGAGUGUUUUUAUAGGCUUUCUAAGGAUCCUUUAGAAACAUGUCUUGUUUGUCCUUUGGCUAUCAAAGAGGAAGAUCUUGAAGUCGAGCAUAUGGUACACUAUUUGGAGGCUACACCUUCUCGGUCUUAUAAGAGAGCAUCAAAUUAUGAGGACUUGGAAAAGAGCUCUUCACCACCACUACCAUCUCUUCAACAUGCACCUAUACUUGAUUUGAAGCCUCUUCUAUCUCAUUUGAGGUAUGCUUAUUUGGGAGAGUCAUCUAUGCUUCCGGUUAUCAUUGCUAAUUCCUUAAAUGAAUUGGAGGAAGAGAAGUUACUUUUGGUGUUGAGAGAGCACAAGGGAGCCAUUGGUUAGACUAUUGCAGACAUUAAGGGAAUUAGUCCUUCACUAUGCAUGCACAAAAUCCUUAUGGAGGAUGAUUUCAAACCAUCAGUGGAGCAUCAAAGGCAGUUGAACCCCAACAUGAAAGAAGUGGUAAGAGCCGAGGUGGUAAAGUGGCUUGAUGCGGGUAUUAUUUAUCCGAUUUCAGAUAGUGCAUGGGUGAGCCUCGUUCAAGUGGUGCCAAAGAAAGGAGGUGUCACGGUUGUGAAAAAUGAGGAUAAUGAGCUUAUACCUACUAGACACAUGACUGGUUGGAGGGUAUGCAUAGAUUACCGCAAGCUUAAUAAGGUUACAAGGAAGGAUCACUUUCCUCUUCCUUUUAUUGAUCAAAUGCUUGAGCGGUUAGCGGGGUAUUCUCAUUAUUGUUUUUUGGAUGGAUAUUCAGGCUAUAACCAAAUUCCUAGAGCCCUAGAGGAUCAAGAGAAAACUACAUUCACAUGCCCAUAUGGUACAUUUGCAUAUAGAAGGAUGCCCUUUGGCCUUUGCAAUGCACUCGCCACUUUCUAAAGAUGUAUGAUGGCUAUAUUCUCCGACAUGGUGGAGAAAUGUAUUGAGGUUUUUAUGGAUGAUUUCUCGGUAUUUGGGGCCUCAUUUGACGGAUGUUUGAGCAAUUUAGAGUUGGUGUUGAAAAGAUGUGAGGAGAUAAAUUUAGUACUUAAUUGGGAAAAAUGUCAUUUCAUGGUCCAAAAAGGCAGAGUUUUCGGCCAUCAGAUUUCACGUUAGGGGAUAGAGGUUGACAAGGCAAAAAUCCAAGUUAUUGAGAAACUACCUCCACCUACCUCGGUGAAAGGGAUAAGGAGUUUUUUGGGACAUGCCGGAUUUUAUAGGAGGUUUAUCAAGGACUACUUGAAGAUCACAAAGCCACUUUGCUCCUUACUUGAGAAGAACACUCCAUUUGAUUUCUCUCAAGAGUGCCUCCAUGUUUUUAACACUCUUAAAGAGAAACUCAUCACGACUCCUAUCAUUGUAGCUCCGAAUUGGAAUUUACCAUUUGAGCUUAUGUGCGAUGCAAGCGAUUAUGUCGUUGGAGGAGUUUUAGGGCAAAGGAUAAAUAAAAUCUUGCAUGUUAUUUCCUAUACUAGCCGGACUUUGACUGAUGCUCAACUGAACUAUGCCACUACUGAAAAAGAGAUGCUCGCAGUGGUAUUUGCAUUUGAUAAAUUUCGAUCUUACCUCAUUGGAUCGAAAGUGAUUGUUUACACGGACCACUCAGCCCUCAAGUAUUUGCUAGCAAAGAAAGAUGCCAAGCCUUGGUUAAUUAGAUGGGUUCUUCUUCUACAAGAGUUUGACUUGGAAAUUUACGAUAAAAAAGGGAUCGAAAAUGUUGUUGCCGAUCAUUUGCUCGACUUGAGCAAACCAAAGAGGUGGUGGAUGGGGGAGAUAAAUGAGGUAUUUCCCGAUGAACAACUCUUGCAAAUUAUGCAUCUUCUACAAGCCACCCAUAUACCAUGGUAUGCGGACCAUGUGAACUUUCUUGCUAGUGACAUCAUUCCCUCGGAUCUCUCAUACCAACAAAGGAAGAAGUUCUUUGCCGACAUCAAGCAUUAUUUUUGGGACGAUCCUUUGUUGUUCAAACGGGGCCCAGAUCAAAUUAUUCGAAGAUGUGUGCCGGAAGAUGAAAUUGAGCAAAUCCUUGAACAAUGUCAUUCCUCACCCUAUGGUGGUCACUUCGGGGCUGUAAAAACCGCAACAAAGGUACUUCAAUCUGAUUUUUAUUAGCCCACAUUAUUCAAAGAUGCUCAUAUUCUUGUCUCUAAGUGCGACAAAUGCCAACGCAUUGGUAAUAUUUCCAACCGAAAUGAAAUGCCUUUGAAUUCUAUAUUAGAGGUGGAGAUUUUUGAUAUAUGGGGUAUUGAUUUUAUGAGACAUUUUCCUCCUUCAUUCUCAAAUCAAUACAUAUUGGUAACGGUUGAUUAUGUGUCAAAGUGGGUAGAAGCGGUGGCUUUGCCCACUAAUGAUGCUCGGGUGGUAGUAAACUUUUUAAAGAAAAAUAUUUUCUCUCGCUAUGGUACCCCCCUAGCUAUCAUUAGUGAUGGAGGUAAACAUUUUUGUAAUCGCCUCUUCGACUCAGUAUUGACCAAAUAUGGAGUAAAGCAUCGUGUAGCCACUCCCUAUCAUCCCCAAACUAGUGGCCAAGUUGAAAUAUCGAAUCGGGAGUUGAAGAGGAUUCUUGAAUUGAUGGUGAAUGCCUCUAGAAAAGAUUGGUCCAAGAAAUUGGAUCAUGCAUUAUGGGCUUAUCGUACCACGUUCAAAACGCCCACUGGUAUGUCUCCUUAUCGUCUUUUAUUUGGGAAAGCUUGCCACCUCCCAGUAGAACUUCAGCAUCGAGCUUAUUAGGCAGUAAAAGCUUUGAAUUUUGAUGUGAAAUUGGCCGAUGAGAAAAGAUUGCUCCAAUUGAAUGAACUGGAUGAAAUCUGCCUUGACUCUUAUGAGAAUGCUAAAAUUUACAAAGAAAAAACAAAGAAAUGACAUAAUAAACACAUUGUGAAACGCAAGUUCUUUGUUGGGAAACAAGUUUUUCUCUACAAUUCUCGACUCCGAUUGUUUCUCGAAAAGCUCUGCUCGAGAUGGUCUGGUCCUUUUACCAUUGCUAAGAUUUUUCUACAUGGAGCAAUUGAACUUCAUCAUGAGGAAAAGGGAAACUUCAAGGUUAACGGGCAACGAUUGAAACCAUACUUUGGAGGUGAUUUUUCUAAGGAGAAAUCCUCCAUUCCUCUUGUCAAUUUAGAGUAAACAAGGCCUAUAGUCGAGCUAGGGACUAUAACCAAGCGAUUGUUGGGAGGCAACCCAACUUUCUUAUCCUUACACUUUUGUUUAUGUUAUUUGUGAUUAAUACUUUUGUUAUUACAUUUUGAAUUAAUACAAUUCUUUUGUAGGUCAAAAUUUUUGAAGUCCUAACCACCCAUAGAUCUCAACAAGUUUGGGGGUGCAUGGUCCACUAAGUCAUAAAUCAAAAAUUCAUCUACAACAUCCUUCAACAAACACCUAAUCGGGGAAGUUUUGUUAUCCCUGUCCUCUUUAUCUUGUUCCUUACACAUUGAGAACAAUGUGUGGCUUAAGUUUGGGGGUGAUUGUGCUUGAAUUGGUGAAAUUAUGUUGAUAUGUUAGAUUGCCUUGCCGACUUUACAUGAUUUUGAUGUUUGAAAUUGUUAUUGAUUCAUGAGUUAUGCAUACAUGACCAAAUAUGCUAUUUGUGCGUAAUUUUUUUCAAAAAAAAAAAAUUGCUUAUCUAUCGUGAGAUUUUGAAUUACUUUGAGCACAAUAGUCAUGAUUUAUUGUUAUCUAGAUGUGAAAUUUUUUUGAUUGAAGGAUAAAUUUUUGAAUUGGUUGAACUAGGUUGUGACUUGUGAGUUGUUUGGAAAUUUUUAUCAAUCUAUAUUCUAUUUUCUUUCACUUUACCAUAUCGUGAGAUAAGUUUGGGGGUGGUCAAGCCGGUGAAGGAGAUUAUCUAGAAGUGUGUGAUUUCGUGCAUGUUGAAAAUAUUUGUGUGGAGUGUCUUUUGCCGAGCAUAAGCUAGGUAAUGACCGUAUGCUAGGAUCUAAGCCCCAUUUUUGUUGUGUUAAAAAAAAUGAAGUUAUUGUACUUGUUGAAUCUUGGGCCUCACUUCGUAGCUUUUUGACUCGAUUUAUUAAGUCCGUAGGGGUAUUUUGAAACCCGAUACCCUUUGCCCUAAACAACGGGGAGUUAUCGACCUAAAGCUCGCUACAAGGGUCAAGAAGAAAGCUUAAGGGAGUAAGGUAAAACAUGAGAUUCGGCUAAAAAGAAAAAAAAAAGAGAAAAAAAUGUUAUUGAUAUUUGGGCUUAGGUAACUAGUAGGUUUGAAUUGCUUAGUAUAAACUUGAAUAUGAAAGCAUUCAUUAGUAGAGAAUCAUCACAUGACUAGAGAUUGAUAUUACUGGUUAGACCCAACCGAACUAGAGCAGGAAAAGAAAUGAGUGAAUUGAGAGCAGCCUUAGAUUUAUACCUCGGGGAAAGAAAUGAAUAUCUAUUUGAGGAGUGUAAAUUUCACGAGUGGGAAAGAAAAUAUUUAACUACAAAGGGUCUGGUUGAAGCCAAUUUAAAGAUUUUUCCAUCUUGAUAAAUUUUUCCUAAUUUAGAUGAUAAUUGAAAGUGACUAUACACAUACACACCGAUCGAACAUUAGAUAAACUCAAAUUAUUUUUUGUUAGCAUUAUUUGGAGCAUAUUUGUCAAUUGAUUAUACAAUUUUACACAUUGAUAUUUUUGGCAAGCUAUUUAGUGUGUUGACAAUGAUCACUUUUGUUUGAUUGUGUGGUAGAUAAUCUUGAUCGGGACAAGUAAGAGUUUAAGUUUGGGGGUGUGAUAAGUGUGUUUUUGCACACUUAUUGGGCACUUAAUUUGAUAUAAUUAUUGAUGAAAAGAAUGAAAUUCUAUUCAUAGUUAAGUAAUAUUUGCUUUUAUAGGUAAAAAUCACCCAAAGGAAAGAGAACAAGGCAAAAGGAGGAAAAAUGACUAAAAUUGUACAAAAUUGUGAAGUUGGAGGCCGAGGCAAACAAGUCAAAAAGUGGAGGAUUUGGGAUGCAAUUUAUGGAGGGCAAAAUCGAAAUGGAAGUCAAAAUUUGAGGACCAAAUUGUACAAAAUCAAAGUUGAGGGACUAGCAUGCAUUAUUUGAAACUUGGCUGCAAAAAGAAAACCAUUUUCUGAUUUUGGGCAGAGA